rfam:Cupriavidus sp. TSMAA2-4 chromosome 1, complete sequence.
GGGUGCUUAGCUCAGCUGGUAGAGCGGCGCCCUUACAAGGCGUAGGUCGGGGGUUCGAGCCCCUCAGCACCCA